AGAGUUUGAUCCUGGCUCAGGAUGAACGCUAGCUACAGGCUUAACACAUGCAAGUCGAGGGGAAACGGACAUCGAAAGCUUGCUUUUGAUGGGCGUCGACCGGCGCACGGGUGAGUAACGCGUAUCCAACCUGCCCACCACUUGGGGAUAACCUUGCGAAAGUAAGACUAAUACCCAAUGACGUCUCUAGAAGACAUCUGAAAGAGAUUAAAGAUUCAUCGGUGAUGGAUGGGGAUGCGUCUGAUUAGCUUGUUGGCGGGGUAACGGCCCACCAAGGCGACGAUCAGUAGGGGUUCGUGAGAGGAAGGUCCCCCACCAUUGGAACUGAGACACGGUCCAAACUCCUACCGGGAGGCA
rnacentral:rRNA from 1 species